rnacentral:rRNA from 1 species
CUGCAGCCCGAGUGGUGAUCGAUUUUAUUGAUCCUAAAGCGUCCGUAGCCGGACUAGUAAACCCUUUGGUAAAUUGGGCAGCUUAACUGUCCAAAUUCCGAGGGGACUGCUAGUCUUGGGACCGGGAGAGGUCAGAGGUACUCAAGGGGUAGGGGCUAAAUCCUGUAAUCCUUUGGGGACCACCAGUGGCGAAGGCGUCUGACUAGAACGGAUCCGACGGUAAGGGACGAAACCCUGGGGCGCGAACCGGAUUAGAUACCCGAGUAGUCC